rnacentral:rRNA from 1 species
GCAGUCGAACGGCAGCACGGACUUCGGUCUGGUGGCGAGUGGCGAACGGGUGAGUAAUGUAUCGGAACGUGCCUAGUAGCGGGGGAUAACUACGCGAAAGCGUAGCUAAUACCGCAUACGCCCUACGGGGGAAAGCAGGGGAUCGCAAGACCUUGCACUAUUAGAGCGGCCGAUAUCGGAUUAGCUAGUUGGUGGGGUAACGGCUCACCAAGGCGACGAUCCGUAGCUGGUUUGAGAGGACGACCAGCCACACUGGGACUGAGACACGGCCCAGACUCCUACGGGAGGCAGCAGUGGGGAAUUUUGGACAAUGGGGGAAACCCUGAUCCAGCCAUCCCGCGUGUGCGAUGAAGGCCUUCGGGUUGUAAAGCACUUUUGGCAGGAAAGAAACGUCAUGGGCUAAUACCCCGUGAAACUGACGGUACCUGCAGAAUAAGCACCGGCUAACUACGUGCCAGCAGCCGCGGUAAUACGUAGGGUGCAAGCGUUAAUCGGAAUUACUGGGCGUAAAGCGUGCGCAGGCGGUUCGGAAAGAAAGAUGUGAAAUCCCAG